UACGUAGGUGGCAAGCGUUGUCCGGAUUUACUGGGUGUAAAGGGCGUGUAGGCGGGUAAUUAAGUCAGAUGUGAAAUACCGAGGCUCAACCUCGGGGCUGCAUUUGAAACUGAUUAUCUUGAGUGCUGGAGAGGAAAGCGGAAUUCCUAGUGUAGCGGUGAAAUGCGUAGAUAUUAGGAGGAACACCAGUGGCGAAGGCGGCUUUCUGGACAGUAACUGACGCUGAGGCGCGAAAGCGUGGGGAGCAAACAGG
rnacentral:rRNA from 1 species